GAUGAACGCUGGCGGCGUGCCUAAUACAUGCAAGUCGAGCGAACAGACGAGGAGCUUGCUCCUCUGACGUUAGCGGCGGACGGGUGAGUAACACGUGGAUAACCUACCUAUAAGACUGGGAUAACUUCGGGAAACCGGAGCUAAUACCGGAUAAUAUAUUGAACCGCAUGGUUCAAUAGUGAAGGACGGUUUUGCUGUCACUUAUAGAUGGAUCCGCGCCGCAUUAGCUAGUUGGUAAGGUAACGGCUUACCAAGGCGACGAUGCGUAGCCGACCUGAGAGGAUGAUCGGCCACACUGGAACUGAGACACGUGCCAGACUCCUACGGGAGGCAGCAGUAGGGAAUCUUCCGCAAUGGGCGAAAGCCUGACGGAGCAACGCCGCGUGAGUGAUGAAGGUCUUCGGAUCGUAAAACUCUGUUAUUAGGGAAGAACAAAUGUGUAAGUAACUAUGCACGUCUUGACGGUACCUAAUCAGAAAGCCACGGCUAACUACGUG
rnacentral:rRNA from 1 species